GGUAGCACAGAGAGCUUGCUCUUGGGUGACGAGUGGCGGACGGGUGAGUAAUGUCUGGGAAACUGCCCGAUGGAGGGGGAUAACUACUGGAAACGGUAGCUAAUACCGCAUAACGUCUUCGGACCAAAGUGGGGGACCUUCGGGCCUCACACCAUCGGAUGUGCCCAGAUGGGAUUAGCUAGUAGGUGGGGUAAUGGCUCACCUAGGCGACGAUCCCUAGCUGGUCUGAGAGGAUGACCAGCCACACUGGAACUGAGACACGGUCCAGACUCCUACGGGAGGCAGCAGUGGGGAAUAUUGCACAAUGGGCGCAAGCCUGAUGCAGCCAUGCCGCGUGUAUGAAGAAGGCCUUCGGGUUGUAAAGUACUUUCAGCGGGGAGGAAGGCGAUGGAGUUAAUAGCUUCAUCGAUUGACGUUACCCGCAGAAGAAGCACCGGCUAACUCCGUGCCAGCAGCCGCGGUAAUACGGAGGGUGCAAGCGUUAAUCGGAAUUACUGGGCGUAAAGCGCACGCAGGCGGUCUGUCAAGUCGGAUGUGAAAUCCCCGGGCUUAACCUGGGAACUGCAUUCGAAACUGGCAGGCUAGAGUCUUGUAGAGGGGGGNUAGAANUUCCAGGUGUAGCGGUGAAAUGCGUAGAGAUCUGGAGGAAUACCGGUGGCGAAGGCGGCCCCCCUGGACAAAGACUGACGCUCAGGUGCGAAAGCGUGGGGGAGCAAACAGGGAUUAGAUACCCUGGUAGUCCACGCCGUAAACGAUGUCGACUUGGAGGUUGUGCCCUUGAGGCGUGGCUUCCGGAGCUAACGCGUUAAGUCGACCGCCUGGGGNAGUACGGCCGCAAGGUUAAAACUCAAAUGAAUUGACGGGGGNCCCGCACAAGCGGUGGAGCAUGUGGUUUAAUUNCGAUGCAACGCGAAGAANCCUUACCUACUCUUGACAUCCAGAGAACUUAGCAGAGAUGCUUUGGUGCCUUCGGGAACUCUGAGACAGGUGCUGCAUGGCUGUCGUCAGCUCGUGUUGUGAAAUGUUGGGUUAAGUCCCGCAACGAGCGCAACCCUUAUCCUUUGUUGCCAGCGGUCCGGCCGGGAACUCAAAGGAGACUGCCAGUGAUAAACUGGAGGAAGGUGGGGAUGACGUCAAGUCAUCAUGGCCCUUACGAGUAGGGCUACACACGUGCUACAAUGGCGCAUACAAAGAGAAGCGACCUCGCGAGAGCAAGCGGACCUCAUAAAGUGCGUCGUAGUCCGGAUUGGAGUCUGCAACUCGACUCCAUGAAGUCGGAAUCGCUAGUAAUCGUAGAUCAGAAUGCUACGGUGAAUACGUUCCCGGGCCUUGUACACACCGCCCGUCACACCAUGGGAGUGGGUUGCAAAAGAAGUAGGUAGCUUA
rnacentral:rRNA from 1 species